GUGGCUGUAGCUCAAUGGCAGAGCACCUGACUGUGGAUCAGGAUGUUGUGGGUUCAAGUCCCAUCAGCCACC
rnacentral:tRNA from 1 species